UACGGGGGGAGCAAGCGUUGUUCGGAUUUACUGGGCGUAAAGGGCGCGUAGGCGGCCACCGCAAGUCGACUGUGAAAUCUCCGGGCUUAACCCGGAAAGGUCAGCCGAUACUGCGGGGCUAGAGUGCAGAAGGGGCAACUGGAAUUCUCGGUGUAGCGGUGAAAUGCGUAGAUAUCAGGAGGAACACCGGUGGCGAAGGCGGGUCUCUGGGCCGAUACUGACGCUGAGGAGCGAAAGCGUGGGGAGCAAACAGG
rnacentral:rRNA from 1 species